rnacentral:sRNA from 14 species
AAAUCAGCUCAGCUUUGUACACUGAUGCCCCAAGCAUAUGUAUUCACAGAAAUAGCUUAUUUUUUCUGUUUUUUUUUUUAUUCUGUGCUAUGGUCGCAAAUCUGGUUAUUGUCAACAUUGGAAGAAUAUCAAGAACGUUCUGUUCUUCCUGCAAUCCUCCGUCAAAAAUAUGUUUUAAAAAGCCGGACGCAAAUUUGAUAAAAUGUGACUAUAUAGGUCCACCAGAUAAAAUCUCCAACAUUCGGCCGUUUGUUCGAAGCAUACCUGACAAUGAAACAGAACUUCAAAAAAAACUGAGAUUGAAGAGAACGACGGUGGAAGAAUGGAAUCAUUCUUUUUGGUCAAGGCAUAAUAAACGUUUUUAUGAUGAACAAAAACUCAACUAAAGCCAACAAAUCUGGAGAAUUGACGAGAUUAUAUAUCAAAUCAAAAAUAAGAACAAGGCAGACUGAAAUUUUCUACGACAAUCCAAACUCGAAUCCCAGGAGCAAACAUCGCGACCGAUAUGGUGAAGGUUACAGAGUAAACAAAGGGCUAGGGAGAAAUUCAGAACAAAAAUGUUUAAUUCGCUCAAUACGACCAAUAUGUGAAAUACAAUAAGGAUUCCAAAUGAUUGCGAUGAUCUAACAGAAGUUGUAUA